CUAAGACUGGAUAGGAAAUUAGAAGGCAUCUUUUAAUUUUUAAAAGACCUUUUUCGAAAGGUAUACUUAAAGAGGGGCUUGCGGCACAUUAGUUAGUUGGUAGGGUAAAAGCCUACCAAGACCAUGAUGUGUAGCUGGACUGAGAGGUUGAACAGCCACAUUGGGACUGAGACACGGCCCAAACUCCUACGGGAGGCAGCAGUAGGGAAUUUUCGGCAAUGGAGGAAACUCUGACCGAGCAACGCCGCGUGAACGAUGAAGUAUUUCGGUAUGUAAAGUUCUUUUAUUGAAAAAGAAAAAAUAGUGGAAAAACUAUCUUGACGAUAUUCAAUGAAUAAGCCCCGGCAAACUAUGUGCCAGCAGCCGCGGUAAUACAUAGGGGGCGAGCGUUAUCCGGAAUUAUUGGGCGUAAAGGGUGCGUAGGCGGUUUGGUAAGUCUAUAGUUUAAUUUCAGUGCUUAACACUGUUCUGCUAUAGAAACUAUCAGACUAGAGUGAGAUAGAGGCAAGUGGAAUUCCAUGUGUAGCGGUAAAAUGCGUAAAUAUAUGGAGGAACACCAGAGGCGUAGGCGGCUUGCUGGGUCUUUACUGACGCUGAGGCACGAAAGCGUGGGGAGCAAACAGGAUUUGAUACCCUGGUAGUCCACGCCGUAAACGAUGAGUACUAAGUGUCGGGGAAACUCGGUACUGAAGUUAACACAUUAAGUACUCCGCCUGAGUAGUACGUACGCAAGUAUGAAACUUAAAGGAAUUGACGGGACUCCGCACAAGCGGUGGAUCGUGUUGUUUAAUUCGAAGAUACACGAAAAACCUUACCAGGUCUUGACAUACUCUGCAAAGCUAUAGCAAUAUAGUGGAGGUUAUCAGGGAUACAGGUGGUGCAUGGUUGUCGUCAGCUCGUGUCGUGAGAUGUUAGGUUAAGUCCUAAAACGAGCGCAACCCUUGUCACUAGUUGCCAGCAUGUUAUGAUGGGCACUUUAGUGAGACUGCCAAUGAAAAAUUGGAGGAAGGUGAGGAU
rnacentral:rRNA from 1 species